AGGAUGAACGCUGGCGGCGUGCUUAACACAUGCAAGUCAUGGGGGCCCAGCAAUGGGCAACCGGCGAACGGGUGCGUAACACGUGAGCAACCUACCCAGGUGUGGGGGAUAGCCGUCCCAACGGACGGGUAAUACCGCAUACGCUCAACGCGAGGCAUUUCGAGUUGAGGAAACCUUCGGGGCACCAUGAGGGGCUCGCGGCCUAUCAGCUAGUUGGCGAGGUAACGGCUCACCAAGGCUACGACGGGUAGCUGGUCUGAGAGGAUGACCAGCCACAUUGGGACUGAGAAACGGCCCAGACUCCUACGGGAGGCAGCAGUGGGAAUCUUGCGCAAUGGCCUAACGGCUGACGCAGCGACGCCGCGUGAGGAUGACGCUCUUCGGAGUGUAAACCUCUUUGCCUGGAACGAACUAUCAGCUUCAGCUGAUUGACGGUACCGGUGAAUAAGCACCGGCUAACUCCGUGCCAGCCAAGCCGAC
rnacentral:rRNA from 1 species